CCUACGGGAGGCAGCAGUGGGGAAUAUUGGACAAUGGGGGGAACCCUGAUCCAGCCAUGCCGCGUGUGUGAAGAAGGCCCUCGGGUUGUAAAGCACUUUCAGUGAGGAAGAACGCCUGGUGGUUAAUACCCAUCAGGAAAGACAUCACUCACAGAAGAAGCACCGGCUAACUCCGUGCCAGCAGCCGCGGUAAUACGGAGGGUGCGAGCGUUAAUCGGAAUUACUGGGCGUAAAGCGCGCGUAGGUGGCUUGAUAAGCCGGUUGUGAAAGCCCCGGGCUCAACCUGGGAACGGCAUCCGGAACUGUCAAGCUAGAGUGCAGGAGAGGAAGGUAGAAUUUCCGGUGUAGCGGUGAAAUGCGUAGAGAUCGGGAGGAAUACCAGUGGCGAAGGCGGCCUUCUGGACUGACACUGACACUGAGGUGCGAAAGCGUGGGUAGCAAACAGGAUUAGAUACCCGAGUAGUC
rnacentral:rRNA from 1 species